UGAGUGACUGACUGACGAGAGGUCACAGUGU
rnacentral:piRNA from 1 species